ACAAUGUGAAGAGGGGUCUUUUUUCCAUCUUCAUCGCCAAUGUAAGCUGCAGAUUUAUCAGCAUCUAGUAGCAGAUUCACGAUUGACAAGUGACCAAAGUGUGAAGGUGCAGUGGAGUCCAUCCUUGUUGAUCAAUCUUUUUGGUGAGAUCAGUAUUGGUUUUGCGCAAUAUUCUUCUUGUCAUUUCUGCAUCAUUGUUGAUUGCUGCUUCGUGCAAAGCUGUUCUACCAUUAGGGCCAUUGUAUUCUGGCGAAGUGCAGGUUUCCAAAAUUUCAGACAGAAUAUCACCAUAGCCUCUCUCAGCUGCUAGGUAAAGUGGACUUUCACCAGCAGCAUUAGCUAAAUAACAAUAAUCAACAUCUUCUUUAGUCAGUAAUCU
rnacentral:misc_RNA from 1 species